AAAUUGAAGAGUUUGAUCAUGGCUCAGAUUGAACGCUGGCGGCAGGCCUAACACAUGCAAGUCGAACGGUAACAGGAAACAGCUUGCUGUUUCGCUGACGAGUGGCGGACGGGUGAGUAAUGUCUGGGAAACUGCCUGAUGGAGGGGGAUAACUACUGGAAACGGUAGCUAAUACCGCAUAAUGUCGCAAGACUAAAGAGGGGGACCUUCGGGCCUCUUGCCAUCGGAUGUGCCCAGAUGGGAUUAGCUAGUAG
rnacentral:rRNA from 1 species